UUGGUUUUUCGAGACAGGGUUUCUCAUGUAGCUUUGGAGCCUGUCCUGAAACUCACUCUGUAGCGCCCAGGCUGGCCUCAGAUUCACAGAGAUCUGCCUGGCUCUGCCUCCCGAGUGCUGAGAUUAAAGGCAUGCGCCACCACCACCCGGCAAUAAUAUGUACCUCCUCUUCCAUAAAUUGUUCCAUGCACAUAUGUUCUGAGCAGCGCAUAUCAUUAGGAAUUGGUACUGUCUUAAGUGAAUUAAUGUUACUUCCUUAGAAGAAAAUACACUAAUUUUCUAUGGCAUAUUGAUGAUAUUACCAAGAGUAAAUUUGUGUUGUUUUUUAAGCAUUAUUGUAUUUUGUUUUACUUAUGUGCAUGUGUGAUUGUGUCUUCAUGUGCAGAAACAUGCAGGUUUCUGUGGAGCUCAGAAAAUGGCAUCAGGUAUCCUGGAGCUGGAAUUACAGGUGGUUAGAGGUACCCAAGCGGAUGCUGGAAAUGAAACUGGGGUCUUGUGGAUAAACAGCAAGCACUCUUAACCACUUAGCCAUCUCUCCAGCAACACCAAAGGUCUGCAUGAGUCCCCAUUUUCUACUGUUUUAGGUCUUGCAGAACUGAAGAGUGGAAGAGUGGAAUUGUGUUAAGCUUCAUUUGAACUGUUUCCUUUAAAGUCAGGCAAAGACCUACCACUGUUCACCUGUCACAGUUUCUUCAUGUCUCUAUGGCCUGGGUAAGAGAGCCUGAAAUGAUUCUUCUGUUGUGUGGAGAAGGAGAGACAGAGACAGAGACAGAGAGAAUAUCUCUAGAAGGUCCACCAUUUGCUAGGUAAAAGGAGUCAAGAAGAGCCUGUAGGGUACAUCGUUCUGUGAUCUUUCAGUGUAUGGGUAUAUAUUACACUAAAAAUGGAGGAAUCAUUCCAGUAUGCAAAUGAAAAGGCAUUUCUUUAACUUAGUGGAUCACUUCCAAAGAUGGGAGAGCAGGCUCAGCCACCUGGCUGUGCCGUAAACUACAGAACCUUUAUUGUUUUGUCUGAGGCUCUGAUUCAGUCCCUUCUUCUUCUUCUCUACCUCCAAAAAAAUCUGUAGAAAUCAAUUUAUUUCAUAUAACAAACUAAUUCCUUAAAGAAUAAUAGGACAGCCUUCUCCAUGGUCUCAAUUAGACCCUUUAACCCAGUGGUUCCCAACCUUCCUAAUGCUGCAACCCUUUCAUACAGUUAAUUCCUCAUACUGUGGUGACAUCCAUAACUGUAAUUUUGCUACUGUUAAGAAUCGUCAUGUAAAUAUCUGAUAUGCAGGAUAGCUGAUACGUGACCUGCAAAGGGGGUGAUCCACAGGUUGAGAAACCUUUAAGUUGUGGGAGCAAAGUGAGAUGCUGUUUUCUUCAUGAGACUGCUACAUGUUGUCAUCCUCCAACACCUGUUACAUGCCAAAUCAGGUUUCUGGCAUUUCUUAACUCAAAACAUGCUUUUCCUGUAUACUUAAUUAAUUUAGCACACACAAUGAAUUUCACAGAAAAAUACUGGAGAAACUGUUCUAAAACAAUGAUUCAGUGGUGGAGAAACAGAAAAAUUGAUUUUCUUUUUUUAAUUUUAAAGUUCCUAAAUCUUUUUUAAAGAUGUAUUUAUUUUUAUUAUAUGUGCAUUGGUGUUUUGUAUGCAUGUAUGUCUGUGUGAGGGAGUUGGAUCCCCUGGAACUGGAGUUUAAGACAGUUCCUGAGCUGCCAUGUGGGUGCUGGGAAUUGAACCUGGGUCCUCUGGAAGAGCAGCUAGUGCUCUUAACCACUGAGCCAUCUCUCCAGCCUCUUAGAAAAAUUAAUUUUCUUAUGGCCUCCACCAAGUCACUCACUGUGACCACAACCUAGUAUUUUUAAAAGGUAUAAUAAAGUUAAAAGACACUUUUGUAGACAAGUGUGCAAAGAUUUAAAAUUUUAUAGGGUUUUACAACCUUUAUGAUGCUCUUCCCUGGCCAGCUGAGUCUGCUUUGGAGGAAGUCUGAAGCUGAAGAGGAGCCAAGAGAAGGUUUGAUACACAACUCAUGUAAAAAUACCAAAGAUACUGUGCAUUUAAAAAAUACAAAGAUAACUGAAAAUACACAACAAUGUUUGGAUCAUUGGCUUGGAUUUCUAGAUGUCUGAAGAAAUUCUGAAGCAUUAUUUAAAUAACAACGAUGAGAAUAGCUUUAUACAUGAAUCUAACUGUAUAUCCAUAUUAAAAUAAAAAAGUACAACUAUUGUAUGGAAUGAAACAGACAUUAGAUUAGCAUUUUCUCACAAGCUACACAUGUUCAAGCUACUGAGUUCUAAUAACUGUGGCUAUGACCUAAGUUCUAGGGGCCAAAUUCAGCUCACUGGCAAUGAGCAAGUAUGAAACACACUCUGCAUAAACUCCACUAUUCAAAUUAGACUUAUAGGUAGGUCACUCUUCUAUUCCUCUGAGAUAUGAAAUUAUAAAUAUUUUCUUAUAAUAUACCAAAGAAGCUCAUUUGUGAACAAAAUCAUGUGAAAAAAUCUGAAGCCCUAUUAUGUGAACUGGGCUCUAUUUCAACUGUUUUUAUUGUUGUUCCUACGAGGUAGCUGCCUUGACAGAUGUUGUUAAUGGACUGUGAACAUGCUGUACCUAAUUUUUGAGCACUAGAAAGGAUUCUUUCUUCAGAAUGAAAAUUCUUCAGAAUGAAGCUGGCUGUGUAGUCUUGGAACACAUAUUCUUAAACCCUUCUCUGAUGAGAUUAACCCAGGUCAUUACAGAGACAGAAAUGGGGUGGGAGAGCCAAGAGUCUAUUUAUAAGCCAAUAUGAUAUUUGCCUUCUAGUAGUGUUCUUUUCAGGCUUAGAAGAGCUAUUUAAUAUGGACUGAAGAGGACUUGAGAGCAACUAAGAACAAGGUCUGAAGACUCAAAAUGGUUUUCAACUGGUACAUAGUGGUGUUCUGUGGGCCAUGAGACAUGAACCAGGAGAUAAACAGCUGAAUGCCAGCUUCAAUCCCUUUGCUCAGCACAGUCAAAGAAUUCAAUGUUAAGGCUUCUGCAGCUCCUGAGAUGCCUCAUAGUAACAACUUACUGAUAGUUACAGAUUACGGUUACUGUACAUGGUGAUUGUCUACUGCCUCAUCGCAAGAAUUUCAGUAGCAUUUGCAAUUCUGGGCGUGCCAAGUUGCAUUCCUCAGCAGAGAAGAAGUGUGAUGUCUGCUCACAAGAACGUAUGUGGAGAGAAUUGGAGGGAAAUCCCAGAAGUCUUAGCACAACUAACAAUGGAGUGUGUGGAGAUAGUCAGGGUACUGAAAGGUCAUUGUUCUGAGCUUGGACUUUGUGUAUUGACAUAGUGGCUAUGAAUUUAAUCAUGACCCAAUAGUCUCUCUUUUAUUUCUGCAUUUCUGAGUUUUCCUAACUGUUCACAACUGAUAAUUUAAAACCUCACCAUCCAAGUUCUAUCAUCAAGGUUGAGAAUGACCAAUAAACAUAAAGAUUGAA